CUCCGGGAAGAGGGGAACAAGGCAGCAGUUAUGCUGUGAGAAGGUGAAGGCCAGAUAUGAAUAUCACCAGAUCAUAUCUAGAACUACUUAUUUAACAACCCAGAUAUAAGAGCCACAGAGGCUGCUAGGCUGCCUGCUCAGCAGACACUGUAGUGUUCAUGUGACAGAAAGUCUAAAUUGCAGGAAAAUUGCUGCUGUCUUCCCCCUUCUCAGCUGGAUGCAUGAGAUUCCCUUGAAGUAAUAAAAUAAUACAAUUAUCAUUCAGAGCCAGAGAGGUGUGGAUGAGAGCUGUGAGGAAGCACUCAUGAACCACUUUUGGGGUACUAAACAUGGUGCUGAGGUGAGCUGCUGCAGGAUGAAUUUCAUCACUGUGUGGAAAAGACAUAAGUCUAUGCAAGUCCCACAUGAAAGUAAAAGAGAAACUUAAACUGCUCCUCUGCACAAGGAUGGAUUUCAGCCCUUCUGCCCAACAUAUGUUUUGAGGCAUUGAGCAGAGAGACUGUUUGCUCAGAACCUGCAGGCACAUUUCUGUGUUAGUGGCUGACUUAUCUACGCCUAGGCGGUGUUCUUUAGCACACUUGAAUAAGCCACUAAUCCUGGUCAGUAGGAGUAGUAAUUAAACAUCUAAAAUGUCUGCUAUUCAAAUAUUUUGCAUUCACCACAUUGCACUUUAGCAGCUUUGGCAUAUUAUACAUUAUGGGCCUGAUCCAUAGCCCCUUGAAAUCAGAUGCUGCUGAUGCCUGUUGUGAUGCCUACUUUUCCCUCUCCUCACCAAUAACCAGUUCAUAGCAGAUGUAGAGAUUUGCUCAUAUUGCUGAUCACUGUGAACAUUUCUCUAAACUCUACUCCAGCCUUUCAGCACAGGUGCUGAGCAAUGCUGAGUGCUGAGAGCUACUGCUUUGGCUCUCUACUUCUUUCAGCACCAUUCUGCAGCUUGAACAGCUGAUCCCUAAGAGAUUAAGAAGUUUAUUUAAUGAAAAAUAGUGUUUCUUUUGCUAGUUCUCAGAAUGCUUCCAAUGCCUCCAGCUGACCUACAGAUGAUGAAUGAGGUCAACUUGCUUAAAUCUAUGUUAUUUACAUUAUAUUAGUGUAACUCAUUAA